GGCCCCAGAGCUGGUGUAGCCUUGCCUCUGCCUGUGGAGGUUUAGGGGCAAGGGGUCUGGGCUGGGGGGGGGGGCUGGCUGCUCCAGCUCACUCCACUGGGACCUUUGCUUCCAUCUGAGAGAACACCAUCUUUCUGGCGCUGGGAUCUGGUGCUUGCUGGUACCAAGAGCAGAUGACAGGACUAUUGGGAGAAUGAAAUGAAGUGAAACAUGCACAGUGAUAACCAUGACCAGUGAUUAUGAAGCUGUUUGCAGGGGAGACUCAUGAAUUCUCACAACCACUCUAUGAAAAAGGGUUAUCGCUGGGGCUUGGUGCCCGCACUACUAAUCCACUGCUCCCGGAUGACAUUUUGUUGCCGUUGUUGGUAUUGCCGUUGUUGGAUAGGACAAAGAGAAAUCGAGAGGGAAGGAAAGAUAGAAAGGGGGAGAGAGUGGUCCGGGAGGUGGCACAGUGGCUAAGGCACUGACUCUCAAGCAUGAGGUCCUGAGUCCAGUCCCCAGCAGCACAUGUACCAGAGUGAUGUCUGGUUUUUUUUCUCUCUCUCUCUCCUUUCUCAUUAAUAAAUAAAUAAAAUCUUUAAAAAAAAAAAAAGAAAGAAAGAAAGAAAAAGAAAAGACAAAGAAAGGGGGAGAGAAAGACAUCUGCAGACCUGCUUUCACCACUUGUGAAGUGGCCCUCCCCCUGCAGGAGGGGAGUUGAGGGCUCAAACCAUCAAUUUGUGCCUCCUGGGCUUAACUCGCUGCACUACCGCCCAUUUACCCCUCCCAAUUCACUCUUGAUUUGUUCUUUUUGUUAAAAAAAAAAAGUUACUACAUAUGUGUUAAUCUUUUGGUCUCUCCAAAAGCAGGUUGAAACUGUCAGAUGUCUGGAGCCCAAGAAUACAGAUUCUAGAUCUUGAAAAUGUUGGGUUGGAAUUCUGGUUCCUUGAUGAGUAACUACCUCUGAGACCUUCAAUGAAUUGCUUAACUGCUCUACAGCUGUCUUCUCAUUUGCAAACUAAGGAUCCUGCUGAUGUGUAUGUCACUGAGUUGCUGUGGGGAUUAUUGCGGUUAAUAUAUAGCAAGGCCUAGAGCUUAGUGAGUACUAAACAGGUGUCAGCUGUCGGAUAAAUGAUGUGUUCGUGGGAAUGUAACUCAACAGGUAGCAUACAUGUUUCACAUGAGUGAGGCCCUGGGUUUGAUUCCUGGUAUAUGAGCCAAUAGCUCUGGCUAGUCUCUCUCUCUCCCUCCACCCCCCACCUCUCUCUCUCUUUCUCUAUCCCUCCCUCCUCCUUUCCCUCCCUCUAUUCAUAAAAUAAAUAUUUUUUUAAAUUUGGGGGGAAAAAAGUGCAUUAGGCAGCCAGUGGCUCCUGAGAGAACGUGGUGUUUUCCUUUCACAUGGAAAGAGGCUGUUGACACUGCACAUGAAGUUGUUUGUGGACGCUGUAAAGUGGUGGAUGUUCGUCUCCCAUGAGCCUUUGUAAUGCUGGUAUAGUUGAUGUUGUUGCUCACAGGUUUCCUUUGCUCCCUAGCCUCCUUAUUUCCUGAACGGUUUGGUGACCCAUGGUAUAUCUUUAUUUAUUUUUUCUAUUUUCCUGUUGAUUGUGUUUUUCUCCUUCCUCCCUUUCUACCCUCCCUGUGUUUCUAUCCGUUUCGCUGAGCACAUAUAAACCUCAUCUACAAAUACCUCAACCUGGUCUGUGAAGGAUGUACAAAGUUUAAGCACAUCUUGAGAACCUUGAGAAGAAUCUAGCAAUGAAGAGUAGUAGCAUCUUCCAGGUGCAAGUGUCCUAAAUGAAAUAUCAUCAAAGCCAGAUUUAUCAUAGGGAAACUGAAUAUUCACAUGCAAGAGAAUUGAGUGGGGCUCACUGUUUACAUCAUAUACCAAAAAUUAAAACAAAAAUGAAUGGAAAUUCACAUCAAAAGAGCUGAAACUAUAAAACCUUUAGAAGACAAAAAAAAAAAUAUUCAGGACAGGGCCAGGUUCUGGCACACCUGAUUAAGCACUCAUAUUACAGUGUACAAUGACCCAGGUUCAAGCCUCUGGUCCCCACCUGCAAGGGGAAAGCUUCACAAGUGGUUAAGCUGGGUUUCAGGUAUAUCUCUGUCUCUCUUCCUCUCUAUCUCCUCUGCCCUCUUAAUUUCUCUCUGUCUCUAUCCAGUAAUAAAUAAACAAAUAAGUAAAAUAUUCAGGACAUUGCUAUGACAGCAAUUUUUUUUUUUUGAGGUGACACCAAAAACAGAGACAAGGGGAAAUAGAUAAAUAGGACUAUAUUGAAAGUUAAAAAAAAAAAAAACAUUUCUGUGCCAAAGGAUGCUAUGAAAAGAGUGGGAAGACAACCCUAGGAGUGGAAGAAAAUCACAUAUCUGAUAAGGACUUAAUAUCCAGAAUAUAGGAAGAGCUCCUAUAAUUUAGCAACAAGAAAAUAUACAACCCAGUUUUGUAUAUAUGAAAAAAUGGCUACAAACUUAAGAGAUAUUUUUGCAAAGAGGCACAGUGAUCAAAGACAUGAGAAGAUGUUCAAUAUCACUAAUCAUUAGAGAAAUGCAAAUCAAAAACAACAAUGAGAUAACCAUUCUGUACCCAUUAUGAUGGUUAUUAUUUUUGAAAAAUCAUAUUAAGGUGUGGUGGAGAAAAUGUAGGAAACUAGAACCCUUCUGCCCUGUUGGUGAAAAUGUGAAAUAAUAUGACCAUAUAUGAAACAGUGUAACAGAUUCAAUCCCCAGUACCACCAUAUGUCAGAACUAAGCAGUGACCUAGUGUCUCUCUCUCUCUCAUUAAAUUAUCCAGCUAAUUAAAUAAUUAAAUAAAAGUCACAGUUUAAAAGAUGCUAAAUAGGUGUCUGAAGUUUACACUGUCAGAUCUCUUACCUGUUCCCCGUUUUAUGCUGACAUUUUCACUUAACUAAACAUCACAGUAGGAAAAAAAAUUACAAAAAUGCACAGUAGCAAAAUAAGAAAAACAAAUGACUUCAUAAGCCACUUUGGACCCCCUUUCAAAGAGAUCUUAAGAUACUUAGAAGAAACUUAUGUGCAAAGCAAAACAUAGGUCUACUUCAUCUUCACUUUAUAUGUGAAGAGACUAUGGCUCAGAGAGGGAGUCUUGCUGACCACAGUACUGGUUCUCAUUUGAAGAUCCAUUUGAAGGGGGGGGUGUCUUUAUCACUUCCAAUAUUCCUUUUCCUCAAGCCUCCCUGAAUCUUUCAGGAUUUUCUCAUUUACAGUCUAUACCCACCUCCCACCCCAAGGAGGUGUGAACAUUAUGUCCUCCAAAAACAAUGUUGGGACCUUUUCUAUAAAAGGACCUACAAGGGUGGGGGUAGACAGCAUAAUGGUUAUGCAAAGAGAUUUUCAGGCCUGAUGCUCUGAAGUCCCACUUUCAGUCCCCCACAUUGCCAUAAGCCAGAGCUGAUCAGUGUUGUGGUAAUAAAAAAAAAAUUAAAUUAAAUCAAAAAUAAAUAAAUAAAUAAAAGGACCUAUGUCUUUUCUCUAAAUGCAAGUCAUAUUAUUGCAAAAUAAUAAUAAUAAUAAUAAACUAUGGCAAGCCUUGAAAAGAGAAAAAAAAAAAUCUUUCCCCAACUUCAUUCCCCAAGUCACUAGAUUUGGAAUAAAUUCUGGCUUCUUAGAGACAAAAGAAUGGGUAUGUAAUUAAGGUUCAAAUCGCCUAUUGUCUUAGGAGAAUGUCUGACAAAGAAAACACAGUGACUAUCAAAUGGAAGCUGGGAGGUGAAAUACUCCUAAUGGAGAAUUCUAGAAAACAAAUUCUUCACUCUGGAACUUGGGUCCUCCUUACAGACAGACAGGCAACAAAGGUGGAGAUAAAAAAGAAUUAUGGGGUGGAGAACACACCUAAGCAGGGACACAAACCCAGGAAUCUUGGAUACAAUUGGUUUGUUCAGAAUGGGAAAUGAAGGCAGGCUGAGUUAGCAGUGAACUAGCUGAGAAUCUGGGGGCCUUGGGACCCAGUGGUGGAACACUUGGUUGAAUGCACAUAUUACAGUGCACAAGGGUCCAAGUUCAAGUCCUCCCUGAAGGGAGGAAACUUUAUGAGUGGUGAAGCAGUGCCUCUCUCCCCCCCUCUCAAUUUCUCUCUAUCCUAUCAAAAAAAAAGAAAAAAGAAAAGAAAAGAAAAAAAGGAAUUAGAGAGUGUGUGUGUGAGAAUCUGGGGGCCUACAGCAGCAUUGUCCAACAGAAACACACCGUGAGUCACAAAUGUUAUUUAAAAUGAUCUAGUAGUCAAAUGAGACUAAAAACAGUCAAUCUAUGAAGUAGGACAUUGCUCUCACUAGUAACAAACUCCUUGAUUUUAAGAAUCAGAGAUCCCAAAAUCAAGUGCCCUCAGUGCCGAGAGAGAGAACAGAAACAUAGAUGGGGGACAAGCAAAUUUCACACUUUCUUGUAAGAAAAACAGUACAGCUCACAAAAUGAUUUAUGUCUGCUACCAUAAUUUCCAUACAGGGCUAUACUAAGGAAUAUUGGGGAUUGUGGCAAAUUAGAAAGAGCACACCCACUCUAAUCAGGCUUCUGUGGCUUUUGCUUCACAGGCAUAAGGGGAUCAAUGUGGCCUGGGUUCUUGAUGUUUUUGAAAAAGCUAGAAAUGGAUUUUUUUUUAACAGUUAGAAGUCAAUUCAUUUUUUUUAAAUAUAUUUAUUUUUUAUUGGGUAGAGACAAAGAGAAAUUGAGAAGAAAGGGGGAGAUAGAGAGAGAAAGAGACACCUGCCACCCUACUUCAUCACUCAUGAAGCUUCCCCCCUGCAGGUGGGGACCAGCGAGCUGAACAUGGGUCCUUGCACAUUGUAAAGUAUGUGCUUAACCAGGUGCACCACUGCCUGGCCCCAGUGUUAGUUUGUUGUUGUUGUUUUUAAUUAAUUUUAUUUUAUUGGCUCUAGGAAUCAACCCCAGGACUUCAUACAUAUGAAACAUAUGCUCUCCCACAGAGCUAUAUCCCCAGUCAUGUGAAUUCAACUUUUAUUGAACCAACGACUGGGUGGGCUGGAUCUUAACCUCUGGUCUCCUUGAAAUCCUUGGUCAUAUUUUACAGAGGAGGAAAUUGAGGUUCAGACUGGUUAAAUAUUUCUCCAACCAACAGCAAAGACAAAGAGUUGGCUCUCUGUGUUCCCAUGCCAGAUAAUUUCUGCUACUUGUUCUAAUAAACCACAUUGAUUA